UCCCUGAUGGUUCAGAUGGUAAAGCAUCUGUCUGUAAUGCAGGAGACCCAGGUUUGAUCCCUGGGUUGGGAA
rnacentral:tRNA from 1 species